rnacentral:rRNA from 1 species
UACAGAGGGUGCAAGCGUUGUUCGGAAUUACUGGGCGUAAAGCGCGUGUAGGCGGCUUUGCAAGUCGGGUGUGAAAGCCCUCAGCUCAACUGAGGAAGUGCGCCCGAAACUGCAGAGCUUGAGUGCCGGAGAGGGUGGCGGAAUUCCCCAAGUAGAGGUGAAAUUCGUAGAUAUGGGGAGGAACACCGGUGGCGAAGGCGGCCACCUGGACGGUAACUGACGCUGAGACGCGAAAGCGUGGGGAGCAAACAGG